UGGAAAGGAGGAAGCGCCUGGAGCAGCAGAGGAAAGAUUAUGCAGCCCCUAUUCCUACUGUUCCGCUGGAGUUCCUCCCUGAGGAAAUUGCUUUAAGGGCAAGUGAUGGUCCCCAACUGCCUCCUCGGGUCUUGGCCCAGGAAGUCAUUUGUUUGGACAGUAGCAGUGGCAGUGAGGAUGAAAAAAGCAGUCGAGAUGGUAAGAUCAAACCAGGUGCCUCCCUUUCUCCCGACCUGGUGUUCAUGCUGAGAUCGGCUAUGCUUUGAAAAGAGUCCAGUCCUUCCUCCUUCAGUUUGGGAUGUGGCUUUGACUAAUUUCCCUGUGUCUCCUUGGUAAAUAUAAGUUUUUUUGCUUGUCUUAACUUGAAGCUGAAAGAGAGAAAUAGUAAAAGUCAAAAUUUUAAUAAGUGAUGACAAGUUACUAACUUUAAGUUUCUGUAGUCUUCUGCUCUGUGUUCAGUAAAUUAUCUUCACUCCCUGGAUUUUUGGUUUUGCUUUUUUUUGCUGUCUCAGAGGUGAUUGAACUGAGCUCUGGAGAGGAGGACACUCUGCACAUUGUGGACAGCAGUGAGUCUGUCAGUGAAGACGAUGAGGAAGAAGAGAAGGGUGGCACCCAUGUCAAUGAUGUCUUAAACCAGCGUGACGCCCUUGGGCGGGUCCUUGUCAACCUAAACCACCCUCCAGAGGAGGAAAAUGUCUUCCUUGCCCCACAGUUGGCACGGGCUGUGAAACCUCAUCAG
rnacentral:sRNA from 1 species